rnacentral:SRP_RNA from 1 species
UCGUGCUAGAUGGGGAACUAGCGGUGCCCUGACUCCACUUUUGUGGCUGACCCGCAAUCCGCUACAGCGGGGUUGAAUCCCUUCUCGAGGGGCGGACGUUUCGGGACUAGUCGGUUCAAGCGGUGAUGAAGGUUGGGUCCGACGCGGCAGAAGCCGACAAACCCCGCCAGGGCCGGAAGGCAGCAACGGUAAGUCGUCACUUUUGGGUGCCGUCGGGUCACCUGGCUGGAGCUGGCUGUUCCGAACAAGCCGGGGCGCUCGUUUCGACAGAAGGUGCACGA